GCGACUGCUCGAGAAGCGGGAGCUGGACGCAUAGGAGUAGGACCCAGGGGACAGUGAGGGCGGUGGCCCGAAGGUGGUCUGGAAAAUAAAGAGAUGUGUUGCUGCCACCUUCUGGUCAGAAGUUAGAAUGACAUGUCUGCAGUCAAUCCAUCUAAGACUCCAGGAGUUUCAAACCCAGAGAAGAGUUGAAAGAACAUUGCUAGAGGCCCCAAUAUACCCUUCUCCUGGACUUACAGUUGUCAGUAUUUUGACACAAUUCCUUUGAAAGUAAGUUUCAGACAUCAUGAUAUUUCACCCCU